GAUGAACGCUGGCGGCGUGCCUAAUACAUGCAAGUCGAGCGAACGGACGAGAAGCUUGCUUCUCUGAUGUUAGCGGCGGACGGGUGAGUAACACGUGGAUAACCUACCUAUAAGACUGGGAUAACUUCGGGAAACCGUAGCUAAUACCGGAUAAUAUUUUGAACCGCAUGGUUCUAAAGUGAAAGACGGUCUUGCUGUCACUUAUAGAUGGAUCCGCGCUGCAUUAGCUAGUUGGUAAGGUAACGGCUUACCAAGGCAACGAUGCAUAGCCGACCUGAGAGGGUGCUCGGCCCCAGUGGACCUGAGACACGGUCCAGACUCCUACGGGAGGCAGCGGUAGGAAUCCUUCCGAAGUGGCGGAAGCCCUGCCGGAGAACCGCGGCGUGGGGAAUGAAGGUCUUCGGAUGGUAAAACCUUUUUAUUGGGGAAAACCAUCUGUGAAGGUAACUGUGCCGAUUUGGACGUAACUAAUCAGAAAGCCACGGCUAACUACGUG
rnacentral:rRNA from 1 species